rnacentral:rRNA from 1 species
CAGCAGCCGCGGGAAUACGAACCGUGCGAACGUUAUUCGGAAUCACUGGGCUUAAAGCGCUUGUAGGCGGGCCGCCACGUCGGCUGCUGAAAUCCCCCGGCUCAACCGGGGAAGUGGCACCGAUACGAGCGGCCUGGAGGGGGGUAGGGGGGACUGGAACUUCCGGUGGAGCGGUGAAAUGCGUUGAGAUCGGAAGGAACGCCCGUGGCGAAAGCGAGUCCCUGGACCCUUACUGACGCUGAGACGCGAAAGCCAGGGGAGCGAACAGGAUUAGAUACCCGCGUAGUCCCUGUCUCUUAUC